AUGUAGCCGGGGAGGUGGCUAGUAGUAGAGGGCGUGGCCAUGCAGGUGGUUUGAGUUUUUAAGUGGGCAUCUGAAGGGAGGCCUAGAGACUGGGUCCGGUCUUUUUGUGUGGAAGCUCGCUGUCUGGUAGCACUUCCCUGUUUGUUUGUGCACGGACAUGGUCUGGGUGAGCAGAUACAAACAUUGUGCUGUCCUCUGUAUGUGUAGUACCUCUGUGCUUGAUUGUGCACAUGGUCCGGGUGAGCAGAUGUAAACAUCGUGGAUUUGUUUGCUGUUGGUCACGCUCAUUCUUCUUUGAUCUGGAAAACCUUUGGAAAGUAGUUCGGGAUUGAUGGCGGUGUUGCAGGUUUAGUUGAUUGCUGUUCCUCCAGUGUUUGUUAUGUUGUAUUUCCUCAGCUAGCCGGUCCUUGUAUGUGCACGCUGUAUGCUUCCAGCGCAAUUAAGAUUUGAUGAUUGUUGAGAAUCGGACUGACUAGCAGAGUGUUUUAUUUUCUUUCUUGUUUGUUUGUUUUUCUUAUUUGUACAUCACUUCCAGCCUCGUAUUGCGAGCCAACCUUUGUACCGUUUAUACAUGUUGAU